rnacentral:rRNA from 1 species
UACAGAGGUCUCAACCGUUGUUCGGAUUCAUUGGGCGUAAAGGGUGCGUAGGCGGUCGUGCAAGUCGGAUGUGAAAUCUCAGGGCUCAACCCUGAAACUGCAUUCGAUACUGCGUGGCUAGAGUGCUGGAGAGGAGACUGGAAUUUACGGUGUAGCAGUGAAAUGCGUAGAUAUCGUAAGGAAGACCAGUGGACGAAGGCGAGUCUCUGGACAGCAACUGACGCUGAUGCACGAAAGCUAGGGGAGCAAACAGG